rnacentral:tRNA from 1 species
AUCUUUCUAGUACAAGUAGUAUAAGUGACUUCCAAUUACAUGGUCCCGGUUAAAAUCCGAGGAAAGAUA